rnacentral:rRNA from 1 species
CCUACGGGAGGCAGCAGUGAGGAAUAUUGGUCAAUGGCCGGAAGGCUGAACCAGCCAUGCUGCGUGAAGGUCAGUGCCCUAUGGGCGUUAAACUUCUUUUGUGCGGGAGCAAUAAUGGUCACGUGUGGCCAGACGAGAGUACCGUACGAAUAAGCAUCGGCUAACUCCGUGCCAGCAGCCGCGGUAAUACGGGGGAUGCAAGCGUUAUCCGGAUUUAUUGGGUUUAAAGGGUGCGUAGGCUGUGAGGUAAGUCAGCGGUGAAAUGCCCCCGCUCAACGGGGUGAAGUGCCAUUGAUACUGCCUGGCUGGAAUGCGGAUGCCGUGGGAGGAAUGUGUGGUGUAGCGGUGAAAUGCAUAGAUAUCACACAGAACACCGAUUGCGAAGGCAUCUCACGAAUCCGCGAUUGACGCUGAUGCACGAAAGCGUGGGUAUCAAACAGGAUUAGAUACCCUGGUAGUC